rnacentral:rRNA from 1 species
GGCAGCAUAGAGAGCUUGCUCUCUGAUGGCGAGUGGCGAACGGGUGAGUAAUACAUCGGAACGUGUCCGUUUGUGGGGGACAACCACCCGAAAGGGUGGCUAAUACCGCAUAAGACCUGAGGGUGAAAGCCGGGGACCGCAAGGCCUGGCGCGAACGGAGCGGCCGAUGACUGAUUAGCUGGUUGGCGGGGUAAAGGCCCACCAAGGCGACGAUCAGUAGCUGGUCUGAGAGGACGACCAGCCACACUGGAACUGAGACACGGUCCAGACUCCUACGGGAGGCAGCAGUGGGGAAUUUUGGACAAUGGGGGCAACCCUGAUCCAGCCAUGCCGCGUGCGGGAAGAAGGCCUUCGGGUUGUAAACCGCUUUUGUCAGGGACGAAAAGGUGCGGGUUAAGAGCUAGCACUGAUGACGGUACCUGAAGAAUAAGCACCGGCUAACUACGUGCCAGCAGCCGCGGUAAUACGUAGGGUGCGAGCGUUAAUCGGAAUUACUGGGCGUAAAGCGUGCGCAGGCGGUUGGGUAAGACAGAUGUGAAAUCCCCGGGCUUAACCUGGGAACUGCAUUUGUGACUGUCCGACUGGAGUAUGUCAGAGGGGGGUGGAAUUCCAAGUGUAGCAGUGAAAUGCGUAGAUAUUUGGAAGAACACCGAUGGCGAAGGCAGCCCCCUGGGGCAAAACUGACGCUCAUGCACGAAAGCGUGGGGAGCAAACA